rnacentral:rRNA from 1 species
GACGAACGCUGGCGGCGUGCUUAAUACAUGCAAGUCGAACGGAAAGACCACUUUCGGGGUGUACUCAAGUUGCCAACGGGUGGGUAAGUAACGAGUAACCAGCCCUUGACUUUGGGAUAGCUUCCGGAGACAGGGGCGAAUACCGGCUAGAAGAUCCUGCUGCCUGGAGGGUGCUGGAGAGUAUCGGGGGUUGGGGAUGGCUUCGCGGCUUAUCAGCUUGUUGUUGGGGUAGUGGCUUACCAAGGCCUUGACGGGUAGACGGACUGUGAGGGUGAUAGGCGACAUUGGGACUGAGAUACGGCACAGACACCUACGGGAGGGAGCAGGGGGGAAUAUUGCAGGAGGGGCGGAAGCCUGAUGCAGCAACUCCGUGUGCGGGAUGACGGCCUUCGGGUUGUAAACCGCUUUCGCUAAUGACGAAGCUUUGUGUGACGGUAGUGGGUAAAGAAGCACCGGCUAACUACGUG